CCUACGGGGGGCAGCAGUGGGGAAUAUUGCACAAUGGGGGAAACCCUGAUGCAGCGACGCCGCGUGAGUGAAGAAGUAUUUCGGUACGUAAAGCUCUAUCAGCAGGGAAGCAAAUGACGGUACCUGACUACGAAGCCCCGGCAAACUACGUGCCAGCAGCCGCGGGAAUACGUAGGGGGCAAGCGUUAUCCGGAUUUACUGGGGUAAAGGGGGCGUAGACGGCAGCGCAAGGCUGGAGUGAAACCCCAUGGCUUAACCAUGGAAAUGCUUUGGAAACCGGGCAGCUGGAGUUCAGGAGAAGUAAGCGGAAUGCCUAGUGUAGCGGUGAAAUGCGUAGAUAUUAGGAGGAACACCAGUGGCGAAGGCGGCUUACUGGACUGUAACUGACGUUGAGGCUCGAAAGCGUGGGGAGCAAACAGGAUUAGAUACCCCAGUAGUC
rnacentral:rRNA from 1 species